rnacentral:rRNA from 1 species
AUUGAACGCUGGCGGCAGGCCUAACACAUGCAAGUCGAACGGCAGCGGGGGAUAGCUUGCUAUCCUGCCGGCGAGUGGCGGACGGGUGAGUAAUGCAUGGGGAGCUGCCCAGUCGAGGGGGAUAACUACUGGAAACGGUUGCUAAUACCGCAUACGCCCUGAGGGGGAAGGUGGGGAACUUCGGUCCUACCGCGAUUGGAUGCGCCCAUGUGGGAUUAGCGAGUUGGUGAGGUAACGGCUCACCAAGGCGACGAUCUCUAGCUGGUCUGAGAGGAUGACCAGCCACACGGGAGCUGAGACACGGUCCAGACUCCUACGGGAGGCAGCGGUGGGGGAGAUUGCACGAUGGGGGAAACCCUGAUGCAGCCAUGCCGCGGGUGUGAAGAAGGCCUUCGGGUUGUAAAGCACUUUCAGUCAGGAGGAAGGGAGAUAGGCUAAUAUCCUAUUUCAUUGACGUUACUGACAGAAGAAGCACCGGCUAACUCCGUGCCAGCAGCCGCCGUAAUAC